rnacentral:rRNA from 1 species
GACGAACUAUGCAAACGUUAUUCGGAAUCACUGGGCUUGAAGAGUGCGUAGGCGGUUUCGUAAGUAGGGUGUGAAAGCCCCCAGCUCAACUGGGGAACUGCGUCCUAAACUGCGAGGCUGGAGUGAGGUAGGGGUGUGUGGAACUUCCGGUGGAGCGGUGAAAUGUGUUGAUAUCGGAAGGAACGCCGGUGGCGAAAGCGACACACUGGGCCUUGUCUGACGCUGAGGCACGAAAGCCAGGGGAGCAAACGGG